rnacentral:lncRNA from 1 species
UUUCUUGUUUAUAUCUUUAUCAUUAGGUGUCGAGAAACAUUUUUGAAAGAAAAAGAAAGUGAAGCUAUGUAUUAAUAAUACAAAGAAUGGAGACUGAAGAGGUUGAGGAAUAUCAUGCUUUGGAUGCCUACCCUUUUCUUAGUAGAGAUCAAGAGCUCUUUACUUGCGUAUCAUCCAUUUGCUUGUUUUGGUUCUGACUAACACAUGCACAACUGACCACACUUUGUUGUUUUAUUCACCAAACCACUUCUUCACUCACAACUCUCACAAACGGACACAACAUAAGAGACAAGGAGAUGUUGGACUCUACACUCUUCAACACAAUAGAAACCCAUCUCCUCCCAUGCAUCACACUACACACUACCACACGCCAUCUCAGAACACAUAAAGAUCCUAUGCACGUCUGAAAUCACAUUUUGGCAGAUAAACCUAUUUCACUCCUUUGUCAUAUUGUUUUACAAUCCCUCUCUUCAUCAGACAUUUAUAACACUUACAAGGAGAUACUUCGAGUUGUCACAGCUUAAUGCACAUGAGAGAAAAGUGUUAUACAAAGAUGGGUCAUAAUAUAUGAGGAAUACUCAUGGUGAUGGAGUAACUCCUGGUUCUUGAAGGAACACGACGUAAAGAUGGAAUAAUUGACUGGCGGCAGUAGAAGGAAACUGUUCAGGGUAUGUGUCUAUGAUUGUAUUAUAUGCGUAUAAGAGACUUCGGCUUGAAUGAUUUUGCAUUUACUUAACUUUUUGCUUAAUUAUUUGGAUUUUACAUCUUCUUAAUUACUGUUAUUAAGUUUUGUAUGGGAUUUGUUGGUCCUAUAUUUAGAUGCAUUUGCUUCCAUGCAUAUUCAGUUCCUGUAGACGGUCUUUAAAGCAAUGCUUCCAUAUUCGGUUCCUAUACAUGAUUUUUAUCAAUCUAUCGAACUUUAUUGAGUUGAGUACUUUUCCUUACAAAACUCUUCAAUAUAAUAUCAUUUGUUUAUCAAAGAAAUGAGAUUAUUGUUUUAUGUUCAGUACGUGUUGUUCAAGUUUUCUAUUACUUCAAAUAAAUUCUGUAAGUAUAAAAAGAAAAAAUCAUUAUUUUCAACAUAUUCAACAAGUUCAAGGUGGAAGAUAUUUGUAAUUUCAUUCUUGUAAUUUUACAUUUUGGUCCUAUUGUCUAUUUUCUCAUCAUGUGUUUGACCUUUAGUUCACAUCCCCACCUUUCUUGUUUUUGUUGUAGGUUCUCUUCAGCUACUACUUCCUUAAAUUCAUUCAAUCAUUCAUUCAAGAGCAGUAUAAGAAGUCAGUUAACCUCUUGCUCAAACUCUCCAAUGUGUGGAGACCUAAAAAUGAAAAAGUGGAUCAACUUAGAUGGUAGAAAAUCUUCACUAAUGUAAUUGAAGCAAUUCAAAGUUGCAAAUCUCUUUGUUAAUGUUUAUUCAAUAGAUACAGUGAUAGAAUCAUAAUAUAUUUAUGUUUUGAAAAUAUGGGACACACUGCCUCCAGAGAAUAUCUCAAACUUCGUGAAAGGUCUUGGUAGUAUAUUUGGGAGGUAGACUGAUGAAUUUAUAAGUUUCUGCAAUGAGAAAUUGCUCAAGAUUUUAGCAUUGAGGCUAACUAGCUAGAAGAUUUUCUUAUUGUUUCCCUGUAAUUUAAUUGUAAGACUCUUAGCACACUUUUCCUUUUAAAAAAAC